GUUGAUUUUCAAGGAAUCAAGCCAUUAAAGGUGGUGAGCAUUCUGGCAAGAGUAAAGAGGUAGUAUCCGAGGAUCAAGAAUCAAAGUAUCCCGAAUUCGAUUCCCAUUACAGUUGGAUAAAGAUAAAAUUGCCAUGUCAUGCUGUUGAAUUUUAU